rnacentral:rRNA from 1 species
AGAGUUUGAUUAUGGCUCAGGAUGAACGCUAGCGGCAGGCUUAAUACAUGCAAGUCGAACGGGAUUCAGGUAGCAAUACUUGAUGAGAGUGGCGCACGGGUGCGUAACACGUAUGCAACCUACCUUUAACUGGUGAAUAGCCCCGGGAAAUCGGGAUUAAUACACCAUAACAUUACAAGAGGGCAUCCUCUAAUAAUUAAAGAACUUCGGUUAAAGAUGGGCAUGCGGGACAUUAGCUAGUUGGUGAGGUAACGGCUCACCAAGGCAACGAUGUCUAGGGGUCCUGAGAGGGUUAUCCCCCACACUGGUACUGAGACACGGACCAGACUCCUACGGGAGGCAGCAGUAAGGAAUAUUGGUCAAUGGGCGCAAGCCUGAACCAGCCAUGCCGCGUGAAAGGAAGACGGCGCUAUGCGUUGUAAACUUCUUUUGUCAGGGAAUAAAUGUAGGUACGUGUACUUACUUGAAGGUACCUGAAGAAUAAGCAUCGGCUAACUCCGUGCCAGCAGCCGC